UGGGGAAUUUUGGACAAUGGGCGAAAGCCUGAUCCAGCAAUGCCGCGUGUGUGAAGAAGGCCUUCGGGUUGUAAAGCACUUUUGUCCGGAAAGGAAUCCUUGGCUCUAAUACAGUCGGGGGAUGACGGUACCGGAAGAAUAAGCACCGGCUAACUACGUGCCAGCAGCCGCGGUAAUACGUAGGGUGCAAGCGUUAAUCGGAAUUACUGGGCGUAAAGCGUGCGCAGGCGGUUUGCUAAGACCGAUGUGAAAUCCCCGGGCUCAACCUGGGAACUGCAUUGGUGACUGGCAGGCUAGAGUAUGGCAGAGGGGGGUAGAAUUCCACGUGUAGCAGUGAAAUGCGUAGAGAUGUGGAGGAAUACCGAUGGCGAAGGCAGCCCCCUGGGCCAAUACUGACGCUCAUGCACGAAAGCGUGGGGAGCAAACAGGAUUAGAUACCCUGGUAGUCCACGCCCUAAACGAUGUCAACUAGUUGUUGGGGAUUCAUUUCCUUAGUAACGUAGCUAACGCGUGAAGUUGACCGCCUGGGGAGUACGGUCGCAAGAUUAAAACUUAAAUGAAUUGAC
rnacentral:rRNA from 1 species